GCCUUUCUAGCUCAAUUGGUUAGAGCUUCCGACUUUUAACCCAAAAGGGAAAUAAAUCGGAGGGUUGUGGGUUCGAGUCCCACGGGAGGCG